rnacentral:rRNA from 1 species
UACGUAGGGGGCAAGCGUUGUCCGGAUUUAUUGGGCGUAAAGAGCGUGUAGGCGGUCAGGUAGGUCCGUUGUGAAAACUCGAGGCUCAACCUCGAGACGCCGAUGGAAACCAUCUGACUAGAGUCCGGAAGAGGAGAGUGGAAUUCCUGGUGUAGCGGUGAAAUGCGCAGAUAUCAGGAAGAACACCCGUGGCUAAGGCGGCUCACUGGACAUGUAUUGACGCUGAGGUGCGAAAGCGUGGGGAGCAAACAGG